rnacentral:SRP_RNA from 1 species
GGCAUUGGUUGUCCAUGCUAGAAUCUCAGCUACUGGGGAGGGUGAAACUGGCUGACUUCUUGAGCUCCAGAGUUUUGAGCUGCCUUGGGUUAUGCAGAUAGAAUGUCUGUACUAAAUUAGGUACCAUUAUGCUGAGACCCUGGGAACAGUGAGCCCCAGAAUCAUCUAAGGAGGCAUGAACUGGCCCAGAUUAGAAACAGUGUAGGUCAAAUCUCCUGCAUGGAGCAGUAGUGGGAUCAGGCUCAUGAGCAGCCUCUGCACUUCCAGCCUAGGUGAGGUGGGGAGACACAGUUUUU